AACGUUGAAGACGACGACGUUGAUAGGUCGGGUGUGUAAGCGCAGCGAUGCGUUGAGCUAACCGAUACUAAUGAACCGUGAGGCUUAACCUUACAACGCCGAAG
rnacentral:rRNA from 1 species